ACCCAAGUGGGAGAGCUCAGCUGGUGGAGCAUGAGACUCUUAAUCUCAGGGUUGUGUUUGUGAGCCCCACUUUGGGCA